ensembl:snRNA U6 U6 spliceosomal RNA
GCGCUUGCUUCGGCAGCACCUGUACUAAAAUUGGAACGAUACAGAGAAGAUGAGCACAGCCCCUGCGCAAGGAUGCCGCGCAAAGUCGUGAAGUGUCCCAUAUUUAA